rnacentral:rRNA from 1 species
AGCGAACGCUGGCGGCAGGCCUAACACAUGCAAGUCGAACGAUCCUUCGGGAUAGUGGCGGACGGGUGAGUAACACGUGGGAACGUACCUUUAGGUUCGGGAUAACUCAGGGAAACUUGAGCUAAUACCGGAUGUGCCCUUCGGGGGAAAGAUUUAUCGCCUUUAGAGCGGCCCGCGUUAGAUUAGCUAGUUGGUGAGGUAAAGGCUCACCAAGGCUCCGAUCUAUAGCUGGUCUGAGAGGAUGAUCAGCCACACUGGGACUGAGACACGGCCCAGACUCCUACGGGAGGCAGCAGUGGGGAAUCUUGCGCAAUGGGCGAAAGCCUGACGCAGCCAUGCCGCGUGAAUGAUGAAGGUCUUAGGAUUGUAAAAUUCUUUUAGCAGGGAUGAUAAUGACAGUACCGGGAGAAUAAGCUCCGGCUAACUCCGUGCCAGCCGCCGCGGUAA